GGGGUGAUAGCUCAAUUGGGAGAGCGCAGCGUUCGCAAUGCUGAGGUCGGGGGUUCGACUCCCCUUCACUCCA
rnacentral:tRNA from 1 species